GGGGUGAGGGGCGGGACGCUGUGUGCUCGGGGUCCGGGGCGCGCCGGGCGGAGGAGUGGCCCUGCGGUCUCCCCACCCCUUUGCGCUUCCUACCCGGCUCGCGUCUGGGAGACCCCGGGAGUCAGGAUGCCCGAUCCCUCAGCGAUGCUGCGGGCCAGGUUCCUGGGGCAGCGACUGCUGGGACACCUGGGUCAGGGAAGCUGGGAAGUGUGGCGUCUGGAACUCAGUGUUAUUCGUCCAUUCGGGAACCUCUGGUCCCGGGUAGUGAUGGAAUGAUGGAAUGAUUUCCAUACACCCGACCCACUCCCCUGCGAGACCAGUGGUCUGUGUUACGUGCCAUAUGGUACAUGGCGGUGCUCAAGAACCUUAAGGCUGUGCUGUCAGAUAAUUGUAGCUAUUUAGAUUUAAAUUAAAUUAGAAGUUCAGUUUCUCAGUUGCACUAGCCGUAUUUCAAGGUCUCCGUGUGUGUUUGGAGGAUAGUGUCUGGCUAGUGGUAGCCAUCCUCGACAGAGCAGAUAUCCCAUCAUUGUAGAAAGUUGUGCCGGACAGUGCUGCCUUAAGGCCUGUUGGGGCCCUGGAGGAAGAUUGUAUAGGUGAGUGCUGGGCAGUAACAGGACCUGGCCUGCCUGUCCCCAUUCCACCUCGCCCAGGCCUGUUCAGAGACUUAGGCCCAGAGGGGAUGCCUGCAGACCAGCGAGGGUGCUCAAAGAGCUAGCAUCAGGGCGAUCUCGAAGCCAUGGAACCAGAGGGGCCACCAAGAUGUUGCUGUCAUCAUCGCGUAAGAAGUCAGACCCUUAGGGAGAAGGGGCUUUUUGGCCUGGAAUCCCACCCACUUCUCUCCCCUGAUCAGUCUCCCUGUGGCAAAGUUGGGGCCUGACUCACAAUGCACUUGACCUCGAUGGCGUCCCCGAGUAGCGUUUGAUCCUUCUGGGCUCAGUAUCCCAAUCUGUCACCCAUGUGAUCCUGCCUGCCCUCCUCCCCGGGUGGGGGGCUGGGUGGGAAGGAUGGCUGAGUGGGAGGACACAUGUUCACUGAUUCAGAGCACCUGCACUGAGGCAUCUCUUCAGUUUUUCCUAUGUGCCAUCUUAGCAGGGGGGACACAAUCUCCUUGUCGGGGCCCCACCCCAAACUCGCCAGUCACCUGGAGGAGGGGUUUCAGUCCUGCGUCCGAGACUCAAGAGGGAAGAGAACUGGGGUCUAAUCAGUCCUCGAGGCCUUCAGGUGGCCCAGCGCCUGCCCAGGUGCCAAGGGCAGAGUGCUUUAGAUGGCACUCCCAGUUUGACCAGCCUUUUGGAGCCAUCCACCCCCCACCAGGCCGGUGGGGCUGGAGUCAGAAGACCUUCAAGAGGACCGUGUGUGGGCACCCACACUAGCCUGCCCUAGGGACCCGCAGGCAGGUCUACCAGCCACCUGCACACUUGGGGUCCAGACAUCACCUACGUAGAGGCCUUCUCAGCAUCCAUUUCCUUCUUCUGUGGCCUAAGGAAGGAUUCUGACUUUCCUGGGAUGGGAUUCCCAUUUUUCCCAGAGUUCCCGGGAGCCAUCCAAGUAGGUGGAGAUUCCCUGUCCCCCAGCUCCAGAAUCGGGCUUCUGAUUACGUCCAGUCAGUGACGCCUAUACCCCCAUGACUGCUUCGGGAAAGGGCUUGGGCUGCCAUAUGAACCAGAGAGGAGAGAGGGGCUUGGAAACCUCUGUCCUCUCCUUAUGAGCACAAAGGGAAGCCAGCCUUGGUUGAAAGCACAGCUGAAGAAACAGUCCUCGAAGAUACUGUUGGGCCACUGAAUCAAACCAAACCUGAAGAGCCUCCAACUUCUGGACUGUUUGGUUUCCUGAGCCAUCCAAUCACCCUUUACUGUUGGAUAUUUGAGGUGGAUUUUCUGUUCCAAGGACUCUUAACUGAUAACCUCACACUCCUUCACCCCAUUGAGUUAAUGAAUCGGUAACGAGUCAUCCUGAGUAUCUCAGAUCCCUUCUGUCCACCUUGAUGCUGUGUUUACUUUGGGCCACCCUCUUCUGGGCUUGGCACCAGCCGCCUGAGGGGAGCCUCCCAGCCUUCCUCACUGGAGCCGGAAUCCGCUUUUUAAAGCAGUGCUUUUCUGAAUGUCG